rnacentral:rRNA from 1 species
AAGCUCGUAGUUGAAUUUCGGGCCUGGCCGGGCGGUCGGCUUAACGGCGUGCACUGUCUGGCUGGGCCUUACCUCUUGGUGAGCUGGCGUGUCCUUUAUUGGAUGCGUCGGGGAACCAGGACUUUUACCUUGAGAAAAUUAGAGUGUUCAAAGCAGGCCUAUGCCCGAAUACAUUAGCAUGGAAUAAUAAAAUAGGACGUGCGGUUCUAUUUUGUUGGUUUCUAGAGUCGCCGUAAUGAUUAAUAGGAUAGUUGGG